ensembl:lncRNA
CUACAGAGCUGGAAGAAGAGAUGGCAGGAUAUGAGGCCAAGACAGUUUGAUUCCAAAAAUCCAAACAAUUCAGAGCUUUACUGUGCAUUGUCAGCUUCCAAAAGAUCAGCGAGUGUGUCCCAAGAAGCUGGCCCUACAUGAUCCAGACACCCAGUGGAAGAAUCUGAGAAGCUGAAGGAGGAUCCAGUGGAUCAACUGUGGGUCCAGAUGUUCCUUACAUCAGUAAGGUUCUCAGGUGAAGCGCUGAGCAUGUCACUGAAAGCCCAGUGGAGUUAAGUGUGCAGAGUCAGUCUGAACAUAAGCUGUAAUGGAUUUGACCUCAAAGCGCACUACAAAGAGAAAUUGCAGAUAACCAUCUGAACUAACUUCUGAAGCUUGUAGUUCUGACUCCUGCGAUACUGAAAAAAAAGGGAGGCCAAACAGAUUGGAGAGAAAAACUCCUAGACAGCAGAGUGAAGAUGAGUCUGAUUUUUAAAAUAAAUAAUGACUUAACUGAUGGCACCCCUUAGAAAAAUGUCUCUUUGCAAUGAACUCCCAUGGUGAAGACAGAGCCAGUUGACUUCCAAGUUGUGGUGGUGCUGUUGGAUUGAUGACUUGUGCAGCAUCUACUCCUUGGUGAGGUCUAUGUCUCUGCCUCCACCAUAGGAGGAAGAAUGUAACACCUUUGGCUGAGCCUGAGCCCCGGAAGCAGGUACUCAGCUGCAACUUUUUAUUUCAAACCUCUUCUGGGGCAGGGAUUUUUUUAUCUUUCAAUGUUUAAAAGGUGAUAUUAUUUUAUAUUUCACACACUUGAACAAAUUGAGAUGAA